rnacentral:rRNA from 1 species
UACGGAGGGGGCUAGCGUUGUUCGGAAUUACUGGGCGUAAAGCGCGCGUAGGCGGCUUUGUAAGUUAGAGGUGAAAGCCCGGGGCUCAACCCCGGAACUGCCCUCGAAACUAGGUAGCUAGAAUCUUGGAGAGGUCAGUGGAAUUCCGAGUGUAGAGGUGAAAUUCGUAGAUAUCGGGAGGAACACCAGUGGCGAAGGCGGCCACCUGGACGAACACUGACGCUGAGACUCGAAAGCGUGGGGAGCAAACAGG